AAUCAACGCUGGCGGCGUGCCUCAGACAUGCAAGUCGAACGAUUAAGACUUUCUUCGGAAAGUGUAUAGAGUGGCGCACGGGUGAGUAACACGUAGGUGAUCUACCUCCGAGUGGGGAAUAACAUCGGGAAACCGAUGCUAAUACCGCAUAAUACCUGCAAGGGUCAAAGCUUUAGUGCUUGGAGAGGAGCCUGCGGCAGAUUAGCUAGUUGGUGAGGUAAGGCUCACCAAGGCAACGAUCUGUAUCCGGUCUAAGAGGACGGUCGGACACACUGACACUGAAUAACGGGUCAGACUCCUACGGGAGGCAGCAGUCGGGAAUUUUGGGCAAUGGGCGCAAGCCUGACCCAGCAACG
rnacentral:rRNA from 1 species